rnacentral:lncRNA from 1 species
UAUUCUUCUGUAACUCCUCCAUGUACUUAUGAAUUACGAUGACCUCCUUGAAUAUCAUUGUGCAUUCAUUUUCUUUGUAUUUAACUAUUAAAAGAUGAUUGCAUUAUUUCACAGUGAAUUGGUUUGUGGAGCUUGCAUUAUCAUACUAGAUUACUUUAUCAAGUGUCAGGAAAAAAAAGAAGUCAUUCUAUCAUACAUUUAUCUAUGAAUCGUUUGUUUUAAGCAUCAAGAUAGAUGUCCAUGAAUGACAGAGGUUGCGUGACAUGGGCCAGCCGCCUCAAGCCUUGUUCCCUGAGGGAAAACAGAAAAAGAAACAAUAAGGAUCCAUAAUAAAUUUCAUCAUUAGUCUGGUCUGCUGCACUGACAUUAGAAAUUUCAUGUAUACGUACGGCACCUGACUUUAAUUAGAAAAGCGUAGCACAUGCUGUAAUAACCAAUUAUGUAACAUUAGAAAUCUGAUUUAGAUAGGAAAACAAAGUUCUAAGAAUCUUGACCAAUAUUGAUCUAAAAUUUGCUACAGAAAAGGUUGACCUUGCAACUCUACUAGAUUUUGAUGUUGGGGUGGUAGAUGGGUUUGUGCCUUGUAUUAUGCAGAAAUCUGUGGAUUCUGUCCACGUAGGAGUCAAACAAUAUGAACUGUAACAUGAUACGCAGAUUGCCAAGAUGACCCUCUUCCUGGCUGUCACCCUGUUCUUUCUCCAGUGUUGCGGUUGACCUGAUAUGGGGCAAGAUCUUUUAGGUUUUAUCAUGAGAAACUUCAGAAUCAGUAGGUUUUCAUUGGAAGCACCAUGA